AGCGAACGCUGGCGGCAGGCCUAACACAUGCAAGUCGAACGAACCCUUCGGGGUUAGUGGCGGACGGGUGAGUAACACGUGGGAACGUGCCUUUAGGUUCGGAAUACCUCAGGGAAACUUGUGCUAAUACCGAAUGUGCCCUUCGGGGGAAAGAUUUAUCGCCUUUAGAGCGGCCCGAGUCUGAUUAGCUAGUUGGUGAGGUAAUGGCUCACCAAGGCUACGAUCAGUAGCUGGGAUGAGGGGCGGACCAGCCACAUUGGGACUGAGACACGGCCCAAACUACUACGGGAGGCAGCAGUGGGGAAUCUUGCGCAAUGGGGGAAAGCCUGACGCAGCCAUGCCGCGUGGAUGAUGAAGGUCUUAGGAUUGUAAAAUCCUUUCACCGGUGAAGAUAAUGACUGUAGCCGGAGAAGAAGCCCCGGCUAACUUCGUGCCAGCAGCCGCAGUAAAAC
rnacentral:rRNA from 1 species